AUUAUUAAUUCAUGUUUUCUUGUCCACAUUAACUAUUGCAACAUCAUCAAAUAUGAGGUUAUAUCUACAAAUUGUGUGCUUUUCCCUUCUCUAUCACUUUCCGCAGUGCAGAUUUGGCUUCUUCUAAGGUCUCUACACCAAGACUUUCCUCAAAGGCUAGCCUUUGUAUGUUAAA